UGGGGAAUAUUGGAAAUGGACGAAAGUCUGAUCUAGCAACACCGCGUGUGCGAAGAAGGCCUUCGGGUUGUAAAGCACUUUUUGGAAGGAUUAGGAAGGAAUGUACUUCCAGAAUAAGUCUCGGCUAACUACGUGCCAGCAGCCGCGGUAACACGUAGGAGGCAAACGUUAUCCGGAUUUACUGGGCGUAAAGCGCGUGUAGGUGGUUCUGUAAGUAGGGCGUGAAAGCUCCUGGCUCAACUGGGAGAGGCCGUUCUAAACUGCAGAGCUAGAGGAUGGUAGAGGGAGGUGGAAUUCCGGGUGUAGCGGUUGAAUGUGCAGGUAGCCGGAGGAACACCAGUGGCGAAAGCGGCCACCUGGACCAUUCCUGACACUCAGACGCGAAAGCUAGGGGCACGAACC
rnacentral:rRNA from 1 species